AACUAAGUGGAGGACCGAACCGUAGUACGCUAAAAAGUGCCCGGAUGACUUGUGGAUAGUGGUGAAAUUCCAAUCGAACCUGGAGAUAGCUGGUUCUCUUCGAAAUAGCUUUAGGGCUAGCGUAUAGUAUUGUUUAAUGGGGGUAGAGCACUGAAUGUGGAAUCGGCGGCAUCUAGCUGUACUGACUAUAAUCAAACUCCGAAUACCAUUAAAAUUAAGCUAUGCAGUCGGAACGUGGGUGAUAACCUCCACUCUCGCGAGGGAAACAACCCAGAUCGUCAGCUAAGGUCCCAAAAUUGUGUUAAGUGAGAAAGGUUGUGAGAUUUCAUAAACAACUAGGAAGUUGGCUUAGAAGCAGCCACCUUUUAAAGAGUGCGUAAUUGCUCACUAGUCAAGAGAUCUUGCGCCAAUAAUGUAACGGGACUCAAACACAAUACCGAAGCUACGGGCACAUUAUGUCGGUUAGGAGAGCGUUUUAAUUUCGUUGAAGUCAGACCGUGAGACUGGUGGAGAGAUUAAAAGUUCGAGAAUGCCCGGCAUGAGUAACGAUUCGAAGUGAGAAUCUUCGACGCCUAUUGGGAAAGGUUUCCUGGGCAAGGUUCGUCCACCCAGGGUUAGUCAGGGCCUAAGAUGAGGCAGAAAUGCAUAGUCGAUGGACAACAGGUUAAUAUUCCUGUACUUGGUAAAAGAAUGAUGGAGUGACGAAAAAGGAUAGUUCUACCACUUACUGGAUUGUGGGGUAAGCAACAAGAGAGUUAUAUAGGCAAAUCCGUAUAGCAUAAUCUUGAGUUGUGAUGCAUAGUGAAGACUUCGGUCGAGUAACGAAUUGAAUCGAUUUCAUGUUUCCAAGAAAAGCUUCUAGUGUUAAUUUUUUAUCAACCUGUACCGAGAACGAACACACGUUCCCAAGAUGAGUAUUCUAAGGCGAGCGAGAAAACCAAUGUUAAGGAACUCUGCAAAAUAACCCCGUAAGUUCGCGAGAAGGGGCGCCUAUUUUUAAUAGGCCACAGAAAAUAGGGGGGCAACUGUUUAUCAAAAACACAGCUCUCUGCUAAGUUGUAAAACGACGUAUAGAGGGUGAAGCCUGCCCAGUCCCGAAGUUAAACGGAGAUGUUAGCUUACGCAAAGCAUUAAAGUGAAGCCCGGGUGAACGGCGGCCGUAACUAUAACGGUCCUAAGGUAGCGAAAUUCCUUGUCAACUAAUUAUUGACCUGCACGAAAGGCGCAAUGAUCUCCCUACUGUCUCAACAUUGGACUCGGUGAAAUUAUGGUACCAGUGAAAACGCAGGUUACCCGCAUCAAGACGAAAAGACCCCGUGGAGCUUUACUAUAACUUCGUAUUGAAAAUUGGUUUAGCAUGUGUAGGAUAGGCGGGAGACUUUGAAGCUGGGACGCUAGUUCUAGUGGAGUCAACCUUGAAAUACCACCCUUGCUAAAUUGAUUUUCUAACCCGUUCCCCUUAUCUGGAAGGAGACAGUGCGUGGUGGGUAGUUUGACUGGGCGGUCGCCUCCUAAAGUGUAACGGAGGCGUUCAAAGCUACACUCAAUAUGGUCAGAAACCAUAUGCAGAGCACAAAGGUAAAAGUGUGGUUGACUGCAAGACUUACAAGUCGAGCAGGUGCGAAAGCAGGACUUAGUGAUCCGGCGGUACAUUGUGGAAUGGCCGUCGCUCAACGGAUAAAAGUCACCCCGGGGAUAACAGGCUAAUCUUCCCCAAGAGAUCACAUCGACGGGAAGGUUUGGCACCUCGAUGUCGGCUCAUCGCAUCCUGGAGCUGGAGUCGGUUCCAAGGGUUUGCUGUUCGCCAAUUAAAGCGGUACGUGAGCUGGGUUCAGAACGUCGUGAGACAGUUCGGUCCUCCACUUAGUU
rnacentral:rRNA from 1 species